rnacentral:rRNA from 1 species
UGGUGGAGUGAUUUGUCUGGUUAAUUCCGAUAACGAACGAGACCUUAACCUGCUAACUAGUCAGGCUGGCUUCGGCUGGUCUCUGACUUCUUAGAGGGACUAUCAGCGUUUAGCUGUUGGAAGUUUGAGGCAAUAACA